rnacentral:tRNA from 1 species
GCCAUGGUGGCUCAGUGGUUGAGCAUCCACCUACAAACCAGGAGGUCAUGGUUCGAUUCCUGGCCAGGGCA